rnacentral:rRNA from 1 species
GACAGAGGGGGCAAGCGUUGCUCGGAAUUACUGGGCGUAAAGGGCGCGUAGGCGGGAUGGCAAGUCGGUCGUGAAAUCCCUCGGCUCAACUGAGGAUCGUCGAUCGAUACUGCCGUUCUUGAGGAUUGCAGAGGAGACUGGAAUUCCCGGUGUAGCGGUGAAAUGUGUAGAGAUCGGGAGGAACACCGGUGGCGAAGGCGGGUCGCUGGGAGUGUGCUGACGCUGAGACACGAAAGCCAGGGGAGCGAACGGG